CUGGCCGGGCGACGGUUGUCCCGGUUUAAGGAUGUAGGCAGGUGAAUUAGGCAAAUCCGGUUCACUAUAUGCUGAGGUCUGAUGACGAGUCACUACGGUGGCGAAGUAGCUCAUACCCCGCUUCCAGGAAAAGCCUCUAAGCUCUAGAUUAUCAUUAAUCGUACCCCAAACCGACACAGGUGGUCAGGUAGAGAAUACUCAGGCGCUUGAGAGAACUCGGGUG
rnacentral:rRNA from 1 species